UCACCUGGAGAUCAUAUUAAAAUGCAGCAAGCAGCGGGGCCUGUGAUUCUGCAUUUCUAACAAGCUCUUAGGUUGUGCCAA
rnacentral:pre_miRNA from 10 species